CCUACGGGGGGCAGCAGUGAGGAAUAUUGGUCAAUGGACGGAAGUCUGAACCAGCCAUGCCGCGUGCAGGAAGACGGCUCUAUGAGUUGUAAACUGCUUUUGUACAAGGGUAAACCUGAAUACGUGUAUUCAGCUGAAAGUACUGUACGAAUAAGGAUCGGCUAACUCCGUGCCAGCAGCCGCGGUAAUACGGAGGAUCCAAGCGUUAUCCGGAUUUAUUGGGUUUAAAGGGUGCGCAGGCGGGAGAUCAAGUCAGCGGUAAAAUGUCGGGGCUCAACCCCGGCCGGCCGGUGAAACUGGGUUUU
rnacentral:rRNA from 1 species